GCGGCGAGUACUACAGAAAGGCAGCUCAGAGAGGCUUCUCCAAGGAGGCACCUGCCAGCAGAGAUGCAAACGAAGCAAGUGAGCCCCGUAGCAGACCUGAGGGGCCAGCAUCAGGGGUAGAGGUAUAGGAGAGCAAGGGCCCUGAGCAGAACCCAGUCAGGGUGCUGCUCAAGGACAGCGAGAGCACCACUGAAGCCAGAGCAGAGAGCAGGACAGACGGGGAGAGCAGAUGAUCUGGAGAGGAAAGUCGUGGCCAGCACACGUAACACAGGAGUCUGCAAACGCCAGCCCUCAGUGUGUUCCUGUCAGCCCGUGAGCUAAGAACAGUGACGACACGUUGAAGGGGCUGGAAGAAAAAGGAAACAAAGAUGGAGAUAGAAAUGAAGACCGCGAUGGAGACACCGAAGGAGAAGCUGAUGGCGAUGUGACAGACUAUGUGGCCCGCCAACCCUGAGAUAUUUACUCCCUGGCCCUUGUCAGAAGAGGUCUGCUUGUUGCCCAAUAGAGAGACCUGAAGGACAGUGAGCCACCCCGGUUUUAUUUCCAGCAUCACAGGAAGCCACCACUGGCAGGGGCCGUUCUGAGCAAGGAUGUGGCACAGCCCAAGCAUUUCGAGACACUCCUUCUGACCCUGCCUCCAGGAGAUGGCUCUCUGAAUGGACACUGCCGUUGGGGCCAUAACAUGCCAGGGAUAAAUCUGAAAGGAGCCACAAAUUCACGAGGCUCCAGGGACACUGGCCAUUGUUAUGUGCAUCGAAGGGGCCACAGCUGUCCCCACCCUGAGGCUUUGUGCUGGUGAUUCUACUGCCUGCAUCAGGCUCCCCUGGUCUUCCCAUGGUUGAUGCUUCACAACUAACAUUACGGUCUAACAUCACCCCCAAUCGCUCUCCAAUGCAUCGCCCUGCUUUACUGUCUUCAUAGCACUUGCCACUCUGAAAUAAACUUCUUAAUGCAUUUGC